UCUGCUUCUCGGCCUUUUGGCUAAGAUCAAGUGUAUUAUCUGUUCUUAUCAGUUUAAUGAAGAUGUCAAAGUGUGUAAAUUGCUCCUGGAGAUGCAAAAAUAAAAAAAAACACAGUAGAACUGACACCUGAACUUGUAUGUUUAUUGCAGCACUGUUAACAUAUCAGGGAUCUGGAAAAAACCCUA